AUAAAGACGAAGGAUAACAAUUGCGGUCUACGGUCUGCCUUGGUCAAACCAGGGGCUACCCAAUUAAUUUCCCUCCUAACAAAAAGGAAGUAGCAAGCUAGCCUUAGAACUGGAGACAUCACAAAGCACUGUUGCUAAUGGGCAAGCUCCAAAUACUCGGUGCAUCAUCAUCCUCAAAGUAGCGUGAUGACAUCCUCUUUCAUACUUUAGUUUUUGAAUUGAUAAGCUGCAUAACUCAAACCACUAGAGGGGGAAGUUUUCCUUGAGCUAGGGCUUGAAGGGUGGUGAAGAG
rnacentral:misc_RNA from 1 species